CCUGGGGAUUUGAUUAAAAAUAAGAUUCUGAGUCAGUGGGUCUGGGGUGGAGCCUGAGAUUAUGCAUUUCUAACAAGUUCCCAGAUGAUGCUGAUGCUACUGAUCCACAGACAGCCCUUUGGGUA
rnacentral:miRNA from 1 species